rnacentral:rRNA from 1 species
GAUGUUAGCGGCGGACGGGUGAGUAACACGUGGGUAACCUGCCUGUAAGACUGGGAUAACUCCGGGAAACCGGGGCUAAUACCGGAUGGUUGUUUGAACCGCAUGGUUCAGACAUAAAAGGUGGCUUCGGCUACCACUUACAGAUGGACCCGCGGCGCAUUAGCUAGUUGGUGAGGUAACGGCUCACCAAGGCGACGAUGCGUAGCCGACCUGAGAGGGUGAUCGGCCACACUGGGACUGAGACACGGCCCAGACUCCUACGGGAGGCAGCAGUAGGGAAUCUUCCGCAAUGGACGAAAGUCUGACGGAGCAACGCCGCGUGAGUGAUGAAGGUUUUCGGAUCGUAAAGCUCUGUUGUUAGGGAAGAACAAGUGCCGUUCAAAUAGGGCGGCACCUUGACGGUACCUAACCAGAAAGCCACGGCUAACUACGUGCCAGCAGCCGCGGUAAUACGUAGGUGGCAAGCGUUGUCCGGAAUUAUUGGGCGUAAAGGGCUCGCAGGCGGUUUCUUAAGUCUGAUGUGAAAGCCCCCGGCUCAACCGGGGAGGGUCAUUGGAAACUGGGGAACUUGAGUGCAGAAGAGGAGAGUGGAAUUCCACGUGUAGCGGUGAAAUGCGUAGAGAUGUGGAGGAACACCAGUGGCGAAGGCGACUCUCUGGUCUGUAACUGACGCUGAGGAGCGAAAGCGUGGGGAGCGAACAGGAUUAGAUACCCUGGUAGUCCACGCCGUAAACGAUGAGUGCUAAGUGUUAGGGGGUUUCCGCCCCUUAGUGCUGCAGCUAACGCAUUAAGCACUCCGCCUGGGGAGUACGGUCGCAAGACUGAAACUCAAAGGAAUUGACGGGGGCCCGCACAAGCGGUGGAGCAUGUGGUUUAAUUCGAAGCAACGCGAAGAACCUUACCAGGUCUUGACAUCCUCUGACAAUCCUAGAGAUAGGACGUCCCCUUCGGGGGCAGAGUGACAGGUGGUGCAUGGUUGUCGUCAGCUCGUGUCGUGAGAUGUUGGGUUAAGUCCCGCAACGAGCGCAACCCUUGAUCUUAGUUGCCAGCAUUCAGUUGGGCACUCUAAGGUGACUGCCGGUGACAAACCGGAGGAAGGUGGGGAUGACGUCAAAUCAUCAUGCCCCUUAUGACCUGGGCUACACACGUGCUACAAUGGACAGAACAAAGGGCAGCGAAACCGCGAGGUUAAGCCAAUCCCACAAAUCUGUUCUCAGUUCGGAUCGCAGUCUGCAACUCGACUGCGUGAAGCUGGAAUCGCUA